GGGCAGCAGUGAGGAGCAGCACCUGCUGUCACCUGGGCCUUGGGGCCAGGCUGCUGCCCAGGGGGAGCUGCCCAGGGAGACAGAGCUGGAGUGGGCAGACAGGAGAACAUCUGGGAGGUUGUGCUCCUGCCUUUCUGAUCCUUUUACUAGGUCUUCAAAUGUGUAGGAUUAUUUUAUGCAAGAAACUCAGCUCCAGGGAGACCACAAUCCUAAUAUGGACAGACAAUCUAAAAAGUAAGGCUGCUACAGAAAUAAAAGCGUGAUGAAAGGCUAUUUACAGGCUUUGGCCUUGAUGUUGCAAGACACACACUGCGUUUCAAGCACCUCCAUCAAGAAGAAAAUUGUCAGAAGCCUUAAAGCAAAGGUACUCCUCACAACUUCACACUUCCAAGUCUGGAAAUGCUGGACUCGUCGUUUCCGUGAGAUUUAUGGUGCAAUCAUAUGCAAGUAAGCGGCGUUUUAAGAAGUGUCCCUUCUGCAGCGCUAAGGCAAGCGGAAAGGUUCGUGUGUGUGUGCGUGUUCAUUGCACACACCCAGCAGGCACAAAGGUUCGUAUGUGUGUGCGUGUUCAUUGCACACA